rnacentral:rRNA from 1 species
UACGUAGGGGGCUAGCGUUGUCCGGAAUCAUUGGGCGUAAAGCGCGCGUAGGCGGCCCGGUAAGUCCGCUGUGAAAGUCAAAGGCUCAACCUUUGAAUGUCAGCGGAUACUGCCGGGCUAGAGUCCGGAAGAGGCGAGUGGAACUCCUGGUGUAGCGGUGAAAUGCGCAGAUAUCAGGAGGAACACCAAUGGCGAAGGCAGCUCGCUGGGACGAUACUGACGCUGAGACGCGAAAGCGUGGGGAGCAAACAGG